GUCGUAUGGGCGGCGGGCCUGGGCAGGGAACGCGGGAGUUGAUGGCCCAGAGCGGGUUGGGGAGAAAUUCAGGAGUUUGGGUCCUGAAAAAACCAUCCCAAGGCUGGGUUCACCUUGCUCAGCUGCUCAAUUAAGCGAAGUGGGGUAUAGGACAGGUGGGCUGGCACCAGAACCGAUGCCAAGAGUUGUUAAUAACUAGUCAUCCCCCAGGUGAAAGAUGCCUCAAGGAAGACCAACGCAGAUUCAUUAACACUUUUAGACCAUUUACCGUUGCCGACCAUUUUCCUAAGACCAGUACAUGUGCUAACGCAUCUAGUCCCCGCAGUAACUCUGUAUGAGGGAAAUGCCUCCCAGAUGGAAGACACGUGAACUUACAGGAGGAGGAGGCGGGAGAGGACGUUCCAUCCACUGCCCAUGGGGCAUGGGCACCAGCACAACACAGGGCUCAGGAGCCAGGGCUCCACCGAUGACUGUGUGACGUUGCCCAAGGGCACUUCUGCCUCUGUGCUUCAACUUCUUCACUGGAGUCUCCUGUACCUCCCCAAACCCCAACCUCCAAUGACCCAGCUAACACCCUCAUCCCGCCACCACCUCUCAGCUUUCCAGUGGGCUCGCCGUCUUCCUGAGUCUGAAGACAUGUCUUCAAAUGUCAACUCCAAUGAGAAAGAAGACUAUAUUUGUCUUGAAUGCUCACCGUCUACCACAACGUCUGGCAAACAGUAUGCACUCAAACCGGUCGAGGCGGCUGUCCCAUUCUAUGUUUCUUUCGGUGCGCUGAGGCGUCUGCGGUGUGCUGAGCAUCGGCGAAGGCGGCGCUACGGGGGGUGUGCAUCCCCACAGAAUCGCCAAGACAAAGCCUGGACGUUAAAAUACAUAUAGAAUUAAUAUAUUAAUAGAAUUACCUGUGUUCCUCAUCUAUUUAGUCAAAUAUUUGUGGAAUAAAUAAGCAAUUUAGUUAAUGAAUGAAUGCAGUUGGAGACCAGCUAAGGUUUGUAUCACGGGCUCUUUGGGGCUCUGUGGGGUUUCCAACAGAGGGUGCAGAGACCCGCGUAGAGCUUUUCUUUUCUUUUCCUUUCUGCAAAGACCCCUGCCUGAGGAUGCAUUUUAAUUGCAAAACAGUCGUGAGUGGACUGCUAAUGAGGACCCCUCCCCGCGGGUUGCGUCAGAGCCCCUCCUCCCCAUCCCCCACCAGGCUGCUCGGGUGUUUAUCAGCCUCAGGAGCUGUCGUCCAGCGACCGUGCGUUGCUAUGGAAACCGCAGCCAGCCCGGGAAGAGAGGGGGCCUACGACAGGAGCUGGAAUUUUCCGGGCUCAGGCGUUAGCCUGUGUGUACGUGUGCAUUCAAAAUCCCAGCCUAGACUCCAGCAGGGGCUGCCUGAGGUUGUGGAGGGGAGCACUGACAAGGGGGCUGUGGGCACGCGGCUUCUCCCUCUGACUCUGAAUCUUGCUUCCGCAAUGGAGAAAAGCGCGAGUUCAUGGGGCCCCGGUGAAAACUGACUCAGGCCGCCUCCCCAGCGUUCAGCUCAGCGCCUGGCUGGUCCUGGCCAGAGUUUCUCAAGGGGGGCCCUACAUCUCCUCCUGCACGGUCACCAGCCACGAUGCCGUUUGCUAAACAUGCAGAUCUGUGGGCUCUAUCUUAGAAAAAAUUUUUCUAGAAUCUUCCACUGUCCUCAUCACAUUUUCCUUCUUUGGAGAAAAUAAGACAUUUUCUCCAAAUAACUUCUCUGUCUCUGCAAUCUUAUUUUUUAUUUACUUGCAUAUUGUCCCUCUCUCCUGUUCGAUAUUAGUCAACCUCUGUGAGCGGAGCUGUAUCUAUCUUAGUUACGUCUAGACUCAGUGCCUUCAAUAGUGCCGGCACAUAGUGGCCUACGAUCCAGAUAACCGGACUUAAAUGAACAAAUCAGUGAAUGGAUGGAUGGACAGAUGGAUGAAUCUGUGCUUUCCUGUUAUACCAUAAUCUCAAAGGAGGUGAUUGGAAGGGAGCAUAUUUUCUAGAUUCUUCUGGCCUCCAAGGGAGACAAAAGUUGUAAUCCUGGCUCCCAUCUCCUUCGUACUCCUCUCCGACGGGAGGCCUCGGUUUCUGGGACAGGGAUGGGGCACAUUCACCACUUGAUGGGGAUCCUGGCUUCUUUUCUUGUUCCAUCUUUAUCGAGAUAUAGUUGACAAAUUAGAAUUGUAUACACUUAAGGUGUAGAACGCGAUGAUUUGAUAUAUGUCUAUGUUGUGAAAUAAUCAUUACAAUCAAGUUAAUGAACAUAUCU
rnacentral:lncRNA from 1 species